AUUGAACGCUGGCGGCAGGCCUAACACAUGCAAGUCGAACGAGUGGCGGACGGGUGAGUAAUGUCUGGGAAACUGCCUGAUGGAGGGGGAUAACUACUGGAAACGGUAGCUAAUACCGCAUACCAUCAGAUGUGCCCAGAUGGGAUUAGCUAGUAGGUGGGGUAAUGGCUCACCUAGGCGACGAUCCCUAGCUGGUCUGAGAGGAUGACCAUCCACACGUGAACUGAUGCACGGUCCAGACUCCCACGCGAGGCAUAAUUGGGGAACAUUGAACAAUGUGCGCAAGCCUGAUGCAGCCAUGCCGCGUGUAUGAAGAAGGCCUUCGGGUUGUAAAGCACUUUCAGCGAGGAGGCGUUACUCGCAGAAGAAGCACCGGCUAACUCCGUGCCAGCAGCCGCGGUAAUAC
rnacentral:rRNA from 1 species